rnacentral:rRNA from 1 species
AUUGAACGCUGGCGGCAUGCUUUACACAUGCAAGUCGAACGGCAGCGCGGGCUUCGGCCUGGCGGCGAGUGGCGAACGGGUGAGUAAUGCAUCGGAACGUGCCCAGUAGUGGGGGAUAGCCCGGCGAAAGCCGGAUUAAUACCGCAUACGACCUGAGGGUGAAAGCGGGGGACCGAAAGGCCUCGCGCUAUUGGAGCGGCCGAUGUCGGAUUAGCUAGUUGGUGGGGUAAAGGCUUACCAAGGCGACGAUCCGUAGCUGGUCUGAGAGGACGACCAGCCACACUGGGACUGAGACACGGCCCAGACUCCUACGGGAGGCAGCAGUGGGGAAGUUUGGACAAUGGGGGCAACCCUGAUCCAGCCAUGCCGCGUGCGGGAAGAAGGCCUUCGGGUUGUAAACCGCUUUUGUUCGGGAAGAAAACCUCUGGGCUAAUACCCCGGGGGGAUGACGGUACCGGAAGAAUAAGCACCGGCUAACUACGUG